UGGGGAAUAUUGCACAAUGGGCGCAAGCCUGAUGCAGCCAUGCCGCGUGUGUGAAGAAGGCCUUCGGGUUGUAAAGCACUUUCAGCGAGGAGGAAGGUGGUGAGCUUAAUACGCUCAUCAAUUGACGUUACUCGCAGAAGAAGCACCGGCUAACUCCGUGCCAGCAGCCGCGGUAAUACGGAGGGUGCAAGCGUUAAUCGGAAUUACUGGGCGUAAAGCGCACGCAGGCGGUUUGUUAAGUCAGAUGUGAAAUCCCCGGGCUCAACCUGGGAACUGCAUUUGAAACUGGCAAGCUAGAGUCUCGUAGAGGGGGUAGAAUUCCAGGUGGUAGCGGUGAAAUGCGUAGAGAUCUGGAGGAAUACCGGUGGCGAAGGCGGCCCCCUGGACGAAGACUGACCGCUCAGGUGCGAAAGCGUGGGGAGCAAACAGGAUUA
rnacentral:rRNA from 1 species